CCUACGGGUGGCUGCAGUGGGGAAUAUUGGACAAUGGGCGAAAGCCUGAUCCAGCCAUGCCGCGUGUGUGAAGAAGGCCUUCGGGUUGUAAAGCACUUUCAGUGGGGAAGAAAGCCUUGGGGCUAAUACCCUCGAGGAAGGACAUCACCCACAGAAGAAGCACCGGCUAACUCCGUGCCAGCAGCCGCGGUAAUACGGAGGGUGCGAGCGUUAAUCGGAAUUACUGGGCGUAAAGCGCGCGUAGGCGGUCUGAUAAGCCGGUUGUGAAAGCCCCGGGCUCAACCUGGGAACGGCAUCCGGAACUAUCAGGCUAGAGUGCAGGAGAGGAAGGUAGAAUUCCCGGUGUAGCGGUGAAAUGCGUAGAGAUCGGGAGGAAUACCAGUGGCGAAGGCGGCCUUCUGGACUGACACUGACGCUGAGGUGCGAAAGCGUGGGAAGCAAACAGGAUUAGAUACCCUAGUAGUC
rnacentral:rRNA from 1 species